rnacentral:rRNA from 1 species
UACAGAGGGUGCAAGCGUUAAUCGGAUUUACUGGGCGUAGAGCGUGUGUAGGUGGCUACCUAAGUCGAUUGUGAAAUCCCCGGGCUCAACCUGGGAAUUGCAGUCGAUACUGGGCAGCUAGAGUUCGGUAGAGGGUGACGGAAUUCCCGGUGUAGCGGUGAAAUGCGUAGAUAUCGGGAGGAACAUCGAUGGCGAAGGCAAUCACCUGGGCCUGAACUGGCACUGUGACACGAAAGCGUGGGUAGCAAACAGG